UGAAACCAGUCCUCCCCACCCCCUGGGGAUCUUCACUUUCCCAGUCUACAUCUGCCUGUGACUCCAGAAAGACAAACUGCAGAUUUGCCAAGCUGCCUGAAGACCCAGCACGACAGCGAUGCCUGCCAGCCUGCGUCGCCCACCAGGGCAGCUGCUCUCCCUACUCGCACCCCCCGCCUCGGUGCCCUAGAGCUGAGCGCAGCCGCGGCUCCACGGGGAUCGCCAGGGCCUCAGCCCUCGCGGCCGGUGGCGCGGGAGUGUUGCGGGUCAGGGACCAGAGGGCUACCAGAGCAGCCACCCCCGAUUUAGGUCGCCAACUUUCCAGCCACUGCGACGGCCACUGGGGCGCCCCUUCCAUCCUGGUUAAAUUCUCAUUGUGAUCCCCAGCCCCCGCCUCGGUUCCCGACAUCCAGGGGGCUGGUUCUCCGCGGUUCAGGCUGGGAGAGGUCAGCGCUCCGGGCAGGGCGGACCCCCAGCUCCAUCUCGGAGGACCUUUCGACCGAGGAGAGCAGGAAGGGGUUAACCAUGAGCCUCCCACCCUCAUCUCCCAGCCCCUGGUGCCGGGCGAAGGCCGCCGCUUCCCUCCCGAGGUCUCAUUAGGGUAACCCUCACCGCUAUUUUCAACAUUUCCUCAAUCAAGUGCCUUUAAAUAGAGCUGCACAAACAGAUUGGCGGCAAAAGCGUAGAUCUUGUCACGAUUGAGACCAAUCCAAUAUUUCAGCUUUGUUUGCUUUGCAAUUACGGGUUGGCUUGUGGCUGCGGUGCCACUGGGGCAAAUCUGCAACCGCUGGCUUUCUCCUCUGCACUCGGGGCUGGUGGAGGAAGCGACCCGCGGAGUUACUGCAGGGAGGAGAGGGGGACGCGCGCGGGGGGAAGCGGCGGAGGGCGGAGGAGCCUCGCUUGCACCCCAGGGCCGCGGGCACGCAGAGCUGUGUUGAAGGACACAUUUUUCAGUUCCUGACAGUCACUGAGCUAUACGCAAUAAUAAAGCGCGUGAUUUGCGUGUGGAAACCAGUGUCGUGUCCUCACCAGCUUCCUUUUCUGCCCACCUUCUCUGUCUCUUCUACCUCCGUUUCGCUUUUCUUCAGUGUAUGCUAGUGGUUUGGUGGAUUUGUCUUCUCCCUCGCUGUUCAACUGCUAGCAUGAUUUGUUACAUUUUCCACAGCUGUUUAUUCUUGUUUGACUUUUUGCACAAAGUCACUUUAAAUCUGCUGCAGAAAGAAUAAAGCUCCUAACCCUUUGGAUGGGCUCCUGCAGGCAUAUGGCUGUCCCCGGCCCACUUUUAAUUCUUUGGAGAUGGCUCUUCUGUGUAAAUUAGCUGCUGGAUGCGUUCGGUCACUUCGUAGGCCAGCCUAGUUUGUAUCAGCAGAACAGUAGUGAACUCAAAUCAGGUCGUAAGCCUUAUAUUUCACAGACAAUUAAAUCUUGGCUGCUGUUGAACAAAACUGUAAUAUUUACUCUGCUCUAUACCAAGGAGCACUUUUAAAGUAAAAAA